ACCAAAAACUAAACAAAAUAAAGGAGAAAAACUAAUAAAUAAUAACAGAUGAACCUCCUAAUUAUGUAUGUAUGUAAUGCAAUAAGCAUUACAUUAUAUCAACUUGGCGAGAUGAUUAACAAAGAGAAAAGAAAAUGGAAACCAAACAAGCAUAAACAAGAGAAAAUUGUUUAUAUUUCACUUUUAAAACCACAUUUAAUACUAAUAAUUCGAAAAGCUAAUAAUAUAAGUUAUAACAAUAACGAACAACAAGAGGAGAACAGCGGAGAACAGCAACAACACAGCUAAAAUACUGAAAAACUUAUAUAAAAAUACAAACCAAACUCUUAUCUUUCAACCAAAUAGCCAAGCGUUUUUCUUUUUCAAUCGUAAAUGAGCGCAAAAUCGGCUGAUGGGCAGCACUGGUGGCACUACCGAUUCGCCGGCUUGCUGAAAAUAUCCAUAUCAUUUUGCAUUCGCUGAGCACAUAUCGAUAUCGACCAAUGUGGACAUAUACCGACAUUUUUUAACGUUCUUUGUGAUUAAAAGGACCCGUUUUUUGGAUUCGAUUUUGCAUGUGUAUCCCCAGUUCAGUUAUCCUCCAGCUCUAUUAGCCGAGACUCUCUCUGGCCGCCCGAGCACGGGAAGACAUGUCACGCCGCGAUCGGUCCAUAAAUAGUCGAGAUAUAGCCAAAGAAAAUAUGAAAAAAUCGGUAUUUUUGUCGCAAGUUGAGGAUUGUUGUUGCACCAUAACAAAAAUCGGUAGAACAAUUAACAACAACAAGCCAGGUUUGUAUUAUUGUUUUCUCCGCUAUUUGUGGCCCGAUCAGUAUGAUGGUUUGCUGUGAUCGAAGAAGUGCACCCGACUUAAUGGAGCCCUUAUCACGGAUCCAGAAUAUUUUUCCCAAUCAAACAUGAUAGUAUUUAUCUAUUUAUUUUAUUAUUCGACAACGGAAUCAGAAUAAUCCUUAUCUAACUUAUUUCUAUCUUAAAAUAUAACAAAAAAUUACAAAAUCAUGCAUGAAAUAGGAAAAAGUCUAGAAUCAACCGUCUUGAUGGCUCCUUUCCCCUGGCAAAACUCAAAUCGCAUCGCAGCUGGCAACGCACUGUGCUGACGAAAAGCCCAAAAGAUGGGCCCAUUGUUGCCAUAGUUGGUCUGGUGGAGAUUAACCACAAAGGUUGGGUGGGCUUAGGCUCCAGGCAGGCGCACUCAAGCCCAUCCUACUAAGCCGGUCAGGGCAAUCGAUGUUAACCACUAGGAGGUUAUAGACAUAGAUCUGAGCAGCAAUGGUCCUUCCAUCUUAGAGGGAGGAGAUAUACACGACACGAAAUCUGCGAACUUUCUGGAUUAGAUCCCAGGCUCUUCGGCUCUAAGCCAGGUCUGACGCCCAUUCAUACGCCGCCGAAUCAAACGAUGGGCUACAGCUUUAAAACGGAGGGCUUAUGUACCCUUCGCUUUGCCUCAAACCGAGUCGUAUCUGACUUUCCCCGCCAAAAGGAGUCCUAUCCAAGCAUUGCCGAGGCGUAUUCGAGAUAGACCGAGUCCAAUCCCAGCCAGACAGAAUCGUAUCCCAGCAGGACAGAUGCGCACCCCUGCAAGAUCCGAACGUAAGAAGCCAUCGUCAUCCUUCGAACUGGCCAUCGACAACAAGGACUUUGACUAUGAAAACCAAGGGAGAGGCUACGCGAGCUACUAGAUAUUAUAUAGAUAUCGUUGUUCUUAGGUUUAAGAUAGAUACAAAUGUUUUCCACUUGUUUAUUUAUUUGUACUAAGCUAAGUUUUGAUCAAUAAAGUUAUUGAAAAUCA